ACCGAAAUGGCUGAGUUGGGCGAGCGUUAGACUAUCGAUCGAAAAGUCCCUGGUUCGAUUCCGGGUUCCGGCA
rnacentral:tRNA from 1 species